rnacentral:tRNA from 1 species
GCGGAAGUGGCGGAAUUGGUAGACGCACCAGAUUUAGGUUCUGGCGCCGCAAGGUGUGAGAGUUCAAGUCUCUCCUUCCGCGCCA